GGGCUCAAAUGGCCCCAAGGGGACCCCAAAUAGGAUGAAAUGACCUCAAAGGGUCCACACGUGGGCUCAAAUGGCCCCAAAGGGUACCCAAAUGGGCUCAAAUGGCCCCAAGGGGACCCCAGAUGGGAUCAGAUGUCACAAAAGGGUCCCCAAAUGGGCUCAAAUGGCCCCAAAGUGUCCCCAAAUGGGCUCAAAUGUCACCAAAGGGUCCCCAAAUGGGCUCAAAUGGCCCCAAAGGGACCCCAAAUGGGCUCAAAUGGCCCCAAGAUGUCCCCAAAGGUGCUCAAAUGGCCCCAAGGGGACCCCAGAUGGGAUCAAAUGGCACCAAAGGGGUCCCCAAAUGGGAUGAAAUGACCCCAAAGGGACCCCAAAUGGGAUCACAUGUGACCAAAGGGUCCCCAAAUGGGCACAAAUGUCCCCAAGGAGACCCCAAAUGGGAUGAAAUGACCCCAAAGGGGACCCCAGAUGGGCUCAAAUGGCACCAAAGGGUCCCCAAA
ensembl:lncRNA